CAAAAUAAAGCUAAAUCAGUUAAGCGUCUCACUUACAUUGGGAAUUAUUUCGUGCAAUUCGAUAUAUUUUGA
rnacentral:tRNA from 1 species